UACGAAGGGUGCAAGCGUUAUUCGGAUUUAUUGGGCGUAAAGGGUUCGUAGGCGGGAGAGCAAGUCAAGUGUGAAAUGUCCGGGCUUAACCUGGAGAGUGCAUUUGAAACUGCUUUUCUUGAGUGUUGCAGAGGGUGGUGGAAUUGCUGGUGUAGGAGUGACAUCCGUAGAGAUCAGCAGGAACAUCGGAGGCGAAGGCGGCCACCUGGGCAAAUACUGACGCUGAGGAACGAAAGCAUGGGGAGCAAACAGG
rnacentral:rRNA from 1 species